rnacentral:rRNA from 1 species
UACGGAGGGUGCAAGCGUUGUUCGGAUUUACUGGGCGUAAAGGGCGCGUAGGCGGCGUGACAAGUCACUUGUGAAAUCUCCGGGCUUAACUCGGAACGGUCAAGUGAUACUGUCGUGCUAGAGUACAGAAGAGGCAACUGGAAUUCCCAGUGUAGCGGUGAAAUGCGUAGAUAUUGGGAAGAACACCUGAGGCGAAGGCGGGUUGCUGGGCUGACACUGACGCUGAGGCGCGAAAGCCAGGGGAGCGAACGGG